GACGUAGGAGGCGAGCGUUGUCCGGAUUCAUUGGGCGUAAAGAGCACGCAGGCGGUUUGGCAAGUCGGAUGUGAAAACCCGGAGCUCAACUCCGGACCUGCAUCCGAAACUGCCCGACUAGAGGUAGGUAGGGGAGAUCGGAAUUCCUGGUGUAGCGGUGAAAUGCGCAGAUAUCAGGAGGAACACCGGUGGCGAAGGCGGAUCUCUGGGCCGAUACUGACGCUGAGGAGCGAAAGCAUGGGGAGCGAACAGG
rnacentral:rRNA from 1 species